CCUACGGGUGGCUGCAGUCGAGAAUCAUUCACAAUGGGGGAAACCCUGAUGGUGCGACGCCGCGUGGGUGAAGAAGGGUUUCGGCUCGUAAAGCUCUGUUGGUAGUGAAGAAAGAUAGAGGUAGUAACUGGCCUUUAUUUGACGGUAAUUACUUAGAAAGUCACGGCUAACUACGUGCCAGCAGCCGCGGUAAUACGUAGGUGGCAAGCGUUGUCCGGAUUUAUUGGGCGUAAAGCGAGUGCAGGCGGUUCAAUAAGUCUGAUGUGAAAGCCUUCGGCUCAACCGGAGAAUUGCAUCAGAAACUGUUGAACUUGAGUGCAGAAGAGGAGAGUGGAACUCCAUGUGUAGCGGUGGAAUGCGUAGAUAUAUGGAAGAACACCAGUGGCGAAGGCGGCUCUCUGGUCUGCAACUGACGCUGAGGCUCGAAAGCAUGGGUAGCGAACAGGAUUAGAUACCCUUGUAGUC
rnacentral:rRNA from 1 species